rnacentral:rRNA from 1 species
UACGAGGGGGGCGAGCGUUGUUCGGAAUUACUGGGCGUAAAGCGCGUGUAGGCUGCUCGGAAAGUCGGAUGUGAAAGCCCUGGGCUUAACCUAGGAAGUGCAUUCGAAACUUCCGAGCUGGAGUUCUGGAGAGGAAGGCGGAAUUCUCGGUGUAGAGGUGAAAUUCGUAGAUAUCGAGAGGAACACCGGUGGCGAAGGCGGCCUUCUGGACAGUGACUGACGCUGAGACGCGAAAGCGUGGGGAGCAAACAGG